CCGAACCGGCACCUCGCCGGCUUCCAAAAACACCGGUGACCGGAGAAUAACAAGGAGAAGAGGAAAUACCUUGUUCCGGCGGCCAAAACAGCUCCGGCGACCUCUUUUCUUCCGAUCAACCACCACGGAAAUCUCUGAAAAAAAUCCCUCAAAUCCCUUGAUUUACUUCGAAAUUUUUGUUGUAAAUUCCUAAAGGAAGGUUGGAGGAUCUUAUAGUGGAGGUUUUCUACCCUAGCCGGACUCUUUGAGUCCGAUUUUGCCGGAAAUCGUGAAGGAAGAAGACUCCGGCUAGGAGUCUUCCUCCUUCUCUGUUCUGUUUUUUUUUUUUUGUGUGUUGUUGGGCCAUCUGGGCUACAGGCCCAAGUAAACGGGUUGCUACAAUUACAGACCAAGCAAGCCUUUUACUAGACUUGGCAUUUUGUUAAAAACAUCAAUAGCAAGAACAAAUAGCAAUGGGGA
rnacentral:lncRNA from 1 species